AUUGCACGCUUGCGGCCUGCCUACCACAUGCAAGUCGAGCGGAGCGGCGUACGGGUGAGUAAUGCCUAGGAAUCUGACUGGUAGCCGGGGCGAGCGUCCGGAAACGUGCGCUAAUACCGCAUACUAUCAGAUUAGCCUAGGUAGGAUUAGCUAGUUGGUUGGGUAAAGGCCUACCAAGGCGACGAUCCGUAACUGGUCGGAGAGGAUGAUCAGUCACACGGGAACUGAGACCUGGUCCAGACUCCUCCGGGAGGCAACAGUGGGGAAGAUUGGACAAGGGGCGAAAGCCUGAUCCAGCCAUGCCGCGUGUGUGAAGAAGGUCUUGGGAUUGUAAAGCACUUUAAGUGGGGAGGCGUUACCAACAGAAUAAGCACCGGCUAACUUCGUGCCAGCAGCCGCGGUAAUUC
rnacentral:rRNA from 1 species